rnacentral:rRNA from 1 species
AAUCCCAAAAAGCCGGUCUCAGUUCGGAUUGGGGUCUGCAACUCGACCCCAUGAAGUCGGAGUCGCUAGUAAUCGCAGAUCAGCAACGCUGCGGUGAAUACGUUCCCGGGCCUUGUACACACCGCCCGUCAAGUCACGAAAGUUGGUAACACCCGAAGCCGGUGGCCUAACCCCUUGUGGGAGGGAGCCGUCGAAGGUGGGACCGGCGAUUGGGACUAAGUCGUAACAAGGUAGCCGUACCGGAAGGUGCGGCUGGAUCACCUCCUUUCUAAGGAG